CAGUCGCCACGGUAAUACGUACGUGGCAAGCGUUGUCCGGAAUUAUUGGGCGUAAAGCGCGCGCAGGUGGUUUAAUAAGUCUGAUGUGAAGCCCACGGCUCAACCGUGGAGGGUCAUUGGAAACUGUUAAACUUGAGUGCAGGAGAGAAAAGUGGAAUUCCUAGUGUAGCGGUGAAAUGUGUAGAGAUUAGGAGGAACACCAGUGGCGAAGGCGGCUUUUUGGCCUGUAACUGACACUGAGGCGCGAAAGCGUGGGGAGCAAACAGGAUUAGAUACCCGUGUAGUCCCUGUCUCUUAUACC
rnacentral:rRNA from 1 species